UCUUUAUGUCUUUGUCUCUGUUUGACUGGGCUGGAGGGUUCGAGCCAUGCUGCUCCACCUACACACAAACACAAAAAGAGUCAUACUAAAAUGUCUGGCUCUGCUGUGAAAUACUCAUGUUUCACUUUCAAAUGAGACAUAUCAACUUUUUAGAUGAAUGGGUGAAUUCUAGGAUGAUACUAGUAUUAGAUUAUGGGUUACCAAUGAAGUUUUAACCUGCUGAAGAGAGGAAACAUGUCACAAUGAUUACGCAGCCAUCAGCUACUACGAGGGAUGUAGGUAAGUACUUUCUUACUUGAGAUAAAAGCAAUACUUAAGUACUACAAGUAAAAUGACAGAUUUUU